rnacentral:rRNA from 1 species
GUCGAACGAGAUUGCACCGACGGAACCUUCGGGGGAAGAUGGUGCAUGACAGUGGCGGAUGGGUGAGUAACGCGUAAGAAACCUGCCUUUCACACCGGGAUAGCAGCUGGAAACGGCUAUUAAUACCGGAUGAUACUUUUCUGACGCAUGUUAGGAAGGUCAAAGAAUUUCGGUGAAAGAUGGUCUUGCGUCUGAUUAGCUAGUUGGUGGGGUAACGGCCUACCAAGGCGACGAUCAGUAGCCGGCCUGAGAGGGUGUACGGCCACAUUGGGACUGAGACACGGCCCAAACUCCUACGGGAGGCAGCAGUGGGGAAUUUUGCACAAUGGAGGAAACUCUGAUGCAGCGACGCCGCGUGAACGAAGAAGGUUUUCGGAUCGUAAAGUUCUGUCCUGGGUGAAGAUAAUGACGGUAACUCAGGAGGAAGCCCCGGCUAACUACGUGCCAGCAGCCGCGGUAAUACGUAGGGGGCGAGCGUUGUUCGGAAUUAUUGGGCGUAAAGGGUACGUAGGCGGCUCGUUAAGUUUGGCGUUAAAUUCCGGGGCUCAACCCCGGCAAGCGUUGAAAACUGGCGAGCUUGAGUAGUAGAGGGGACAGUGGAAUUCCUAGUGUAGCGGUGAAAUGCGUAGAGAUUAGGAAGAAUACCGGUGGCGAAGGCGACUGUCUGGAUACAUACUGACGCUGAGGUACGAAAGCG